rnacentral:rRNA from 1 species
GCUGGCGGCAGGCUAACACAUGCAAGUCGAGCGGUAGAGAGAAGCUUGCUUCUCUUGAGAGCGGCGGACGGGUGAGUAAAGCCUAGGAAUCUGCCUGGUAGUGGGGGAUAACGUUCGGAAACGGACGCUAAUACCGCAUACGUCCUACGGGAGAAAGCAGGGGACCUUUCGGGCCUUGCGCUAUCAGAUGAGCCUAGGUCGGAUUAGCUAGUUGGUGAGGUAAUGGCUCACCAAGGCGACGAUCCGUAACUGGUCUGAGAGGAUGAUCAGUCACACUGGAACUGAGACACGGUCCAGACUCCUACGGGAGGCAGCAGUGGGGAAUAUUGGACAAUGGGCGAAAGCCUGAUCCAGCCAUGCCGCGUGUGUGAAGAAGGUCUUCGGAUUGUAAAGCACUUUAAGUUGGGAGGAAGGGCAUUAACCUAAUACGUUAGUGUUUUGACGUUACCGACAGAAUAAGCACCGGCUAACUCUGUGCCAGCAGCCGCGGUAAUACAGAGGGUGCAAGCGUUAAUCGGAAUUACUGGGCGUAAAGCGCGCGUAGGUGGUUUGUUAAGUUGGAUGUGAAAUCCCCGGGCUCAACCUGGGAACUGCAUUCAAAACUGACUGACUAGAGUAUGGUAGAGGGUGGUGGAAUUUCCUGUGUAGCGGUGAAAUGCGUAGAUAUAGGAAGGAACACCAGUGGCGAAGGCGACCACCUGGACCAAUACUGACACUGAGGUGCGAAAGCGUGGGGAGCAAACAGGAUUAGAUACCCUGGUAGUCCACGCCGUAAACGAUGUCAACUAGCCGUUGGGAGCCUUGAGCUCUUAGUGGCGCAGCUAACG